ACGUGCAGUAAGUUGAUGGGGUCCCAGGUUGUCUAUAAUCCCGGGACUACGUCAACUACUGCAAGG
rnacentral:pre_miRNA from 1 species